UGUUUGGUUUGCAUGAGGUUUGGGAAAAAAAGACUAGUAAGUUAAUAGGUUUGUUACAGUGGAAAGGAGAGGGCAUCUUUGGCAGGAACCUAGGGUGAGGUCAGAGGACUACUUUGUCCUUGUAGAAAGUGGUGAAAGGUGGGUCUGCCAUGAGUGCAGCAAUUUUGCUAACUCUCCUGGCAGAUGUGAUUGCCACUAGUAGAGCCACCUUUAUGGAAAGGUGGAGUAUACAGCAGGUUGCCAUAGGCUCAAACAGUUUAUAAGUUAAGGUUCUUAGAACCAAAUUGAGGUCCCAGGCAGGAGCUGGAGGUUUGAUUGGUGGAUAGAUGUUCUGCAAACCCUUGAAGAACUUUCUGGUCAUAGGAUGUGUAAACAGCGACUUGCUGUCUAUUGGCUGGUGUAAAGCAGUUAUGGCAGAGAGGUGGACCUUCAGUGAACUGAGUGAAAGUCCAGAGUUUUUUAGUUCGGUUAUGUAUUGCAGGACCGCAGGUAAUGGAGCGGAAGAUGGGUCGAGGUUGUGGAGAUGAGACCAAGUGGAGAACUGGCACCACUCGUACAGGUAAGUUUUGCAAGUGAAUGUUCGACUGCUAAGGAGAAUCUGUUGAACAUCAUCUGUGCAUUCUGUUUCUAGUAAAGUGAGCCACUAAGGAGCCAGGUCUAAAGGUUCAUGGUGUGGAGAUGAAGAUGCUGAAGGCAACUCCGAUAUUGAGCAAGGAGAUGGGGAAGCUAUGGGAGUGGGCGAUUGGCUGAUAUAUGCAGUAGGUGGGACGUCACAAUUGCAAAGACCUUGGAAAAGACCCUCAGCGCAGUGGAUAGGCCGAAAGGAGCCUGGAUGCCCAGCAUUUUAAGCGUGACCCUGGAGUCUUUGAGGAAAUGUAGAGAAGCGUGUGUGCCAUCAGCAAAGAGCUUCGGACCCUCGAAUGGAAGGUCUUCCACCUUUGUCUGAACUAACUUAGGGAAGCCAGAGAGGUAGAGCUAGGAGGCUCUUCUCAGAGAUGGCCAAGGCUUGUGACGCUGUGUCAGCUGAAUCCAGAGCAGCUUGGAGGGCUGUUCUGGCUACCAAGAGUCCUUCAUUAGUGUUUGCUCUCAUUUGUUCUUUUUUUCCCUCUGGGAGGAAUUGAAUGAAGUCUGCAAUUUGCUGAAAAAUGGGGUGAGUGUAUUUUGCUAGCAUCACAGUGUAAUUAGCAAUACGUAGCUGUAGGGAGGCAGAGGCGUAUGAUUGUUUGCCCAUGAUACCCAAACAUUUCCACUCUUCAAUCAGGAGGGGCAGAUUUGGCAAUGGUUUACUUGCUCCUCUGAUUUUAUGCUGGGUCUCUGGCAGUGUGGUUAGCAAGACCUUGAGGACCUCAGCUACCCUCUUAAAGAGGUCUUGGAAUGCCUUGAAAUUGUGCCUGGAUGGGGCUUGUAGAGGCAUGAGUGUGUCCACUGGGGAGGAAGGAGAAAUCUGGGGAAGUGGGUGAAAGGUGGUUGUGGAGUCCUCGUCACUCAGUGGCUGAUGGAAAUCUGGUCCCCUGAAAUGUCAAGGGACACAGUGGAUAUAGGCCUCAAGUGGAGCUGGGCAACAUGGAGAUGCUGUUGUUACUGAGCUCUGUGAAGUGCCCAGGGGUCACUUGGUGGUAGCCAAUGCGCAGGUUGCCAUUGUAGUAAGGCUAGUUGUAAGGGAGGGAAUUUGUGCCUUGGCGUAGAGUGUCUGGGAGAAGUUGAGGUCACACUGGAGGACUGAUCCUUCUCACCAGAAUACAGAGGUAUGAAAGUGCCAGGCACGGACAUAAAAAAAAGCCUCAUAAUGCGGGGAGGAAUCAGUGCCAAAUAAGGGUGUCACAGACACUAAAGAGAUCAUAGAAUUGUCUGUGGACAUAUAAGGGCAAAAAAGAAGCACCAGUGGUAAAGACUAUUGUGCCAGUAUAUGCUUUGGCAUUACCAGGAGAGGGAGGCAGUAACAGUGCCCUGGUCCUUUAUAUGCAGCACUGCUCAGUGUCGGUAAGACCGAUGAUGCUGUUGUAGCCCUGUGCUGUUUGGCUGCGACAGGCUGGGGCUUAUCAGCAUGUUUAGGCACACUGACCAGGUUCUUAGACCCUCGGGGCGCUGUGGGUGAAAACUGCCCU